rnacentral:tRNA from 1 species
UGAGGUGUAGCUCAGUGGUAGAGCACUUGCCUAGCAUGUAUGAGGCCCUGGGUUGGAUCCUCAGCACCACAG